rnacentral:rRNA from 1 species
UACGGAGGGGGCUAGCGUUGUUCGGAAUUACUGGGCGUAAAGCGCACGUAGGCGGACUGUUAAGUCGGGGGUGAAAUCCUGGGGCUCAACCUCAGAAUUGCGUCCGAUACUGGCAGUCUCGAGUGCGGGAGAGGUGAGUGGAAUUCCCAGUGUAGAGGUGAAAUUCGUAGAUAUUGGGAGGAACACCAGUGGCGAAGGCGGCACACUGGACCGGAACUGACGCUGAGGUGCGAAAGCGAGGGGAGCAAACAGG